UACGUAGGGUGCAAGCGUGUCCGGAAUUUAUUGGGCGAAAGAGCUCGUAGGCGGUUCGUCGCGUCGGCUGUGAAAACCUGAGGCUCAACCUCAGGCCUGCAGUCGAUACGGGCGGACUUGAGUACUGCAGGGGAGACUGGAAUUCCCGGUGUAGCGGUGAAAAUGCGUAGAUAUCAGGAGGAACACCUGUGGCGAAAGCGGCUCACUGGACCAUAACUGACGCUGAUGCACGAAAAGCUAGGGGAGCAAACAGG
rnacentral:rRNA from 1 species